UUACGUUAACAGAACCAGAGCCGUAGAGAGAGUUGCGACAACUCCGUUCACUCCAAUGGACCAGUUUUUUACAGCAAUGGCGGAUCGUGGAGCCGCUCAAUAGUUCCCGGAAGUUAGC